rnacentral:rRNA from 1 species
GACGAACGCUGGCGGCGUGCCUAAUACAUGCAAGUCGAGCGAAGCGGCGGAUGGGUGAGUAACGCGUGGGUAACCUGGCCUAAAGUCUGGGAUACCAUUUGGAAGCAGAUGUUAAUAACGGAUAAUAAAGGAUGGACAUGCGAUGCAUUAGGUAGUUGGUAAGGUAACGGCUUACCAAGGCGAGGAUGCAUAGCCGAGUUGAGAGGCUGAUCGGCCACAUUGGGACUGAGACACGGCCCAAACUCCUACGGGAGGCAGCAGUAGGGAAUCUUCCACAAUGGACGAAAGUCUGAUGGAGCAACGCCGCGUGAGUGAAGAAGGUUUUCGGAUCGUAAAGCUCUGUUGUUGGUGAAGCGGUAAUCAACCAGAAAGUCACGGCUAACUACGUGCCAGCAGCCGCGGUAAUAC